CGGGGGGGGCAAGCGUUGUUCGGAAUUACUGGGCGUAAAGGGUGCGUAGGCGGCUUUCUAAGUUGGAUGUGAAAACUCUGGGCUCAACCCAGAGACUGCAUCCAAAACUGGAGAGCUUGGGUUCUGGAGGGGAAAGCGGAAUUCCUGGUGUAGCGGUGAAAUGCGUAGAUAUCAGGAGGAACACCGGUGGCGAAGGCGGCUUUCUGGACAGAUACCGACGCUGAGGCACGAAAGCUAGGGGAGCAAACAGGAUUAGAUACCCUGGUAGUCCUAGCCCUAAACGAUGGAUACUUGCUGUGAGGGGGAUUGAAACCCUUUGUGGCGAAGCUAACGCAUUAAGUAUCCCGCCUGGGGAGUACGGUCGCAAGGCUG
rnacentral:rRNA from 1 species